rnacentral:lncRNA from 1 species
CACUUAAAGCAUAUGAAGGUACAUGACAAUGGACAAUAUUUUCAGGAUUAGUAGUGUAAAUAUGAUCAAUUAGAGUUUCAGAUUUGUCACAAAUACGUGUUGCAGUGCAAAUUUGUUGUUGAAGAUUAAAAUUGUUUAUGAAAUUGAUCCAUUUUUUAUUCUCAAUUUUAAUCAAGUCAAUAUUAAAGUCCCCCAUUAAAAUUAUCUCUUUGUUUUCUGAAAGAGCUGCAUUAAAUUCUUCCUCAAAAAGAUCUAUCCAGGACUGAGGGGAAUUUGGUGGUCUAUAAAUAGUACAAAUGAAGAAAGGUUUAGAUUUUGGAAAUUCUACCUCUAACCAUAAAGUUUCUAAUGUAUUAAUGGAUAAAUCAGAUCGAUUUUUAACUGCAAUAGAAUCUUUGACAUAAACCAAUAGGCCACCACCAUCCUUACACUGGCGAUCUUUUCUGAAAAUUUUGUAUCCCGGCACUUUACAUUGUUCAUUGUUAAUGUCAGGUUUUAAGAA